CCAGACUCCUACGGGAGGCAGCAGUGAGGAAUAUUGGUCAAUGGGCGGGAGCCUGAACCAGCCAAGUCGCGUGAGGGAAGACGGUCCUAUGGAUUGUAAACCUCUUUAGGCGGGGAGCAAUGCCGGGCACGCGUGCCCGGAGGGAGAGUACCCGCAGAAUAAGCAUCGGCUAACUACGUGCCAGCAGCCGCGGUAAUACGUAGGGGGCAAGCGUUAUCCGGAUUUACUGGGUGUAAAGGGAGCGUAGACGGACUUGCAAGUCUGAUGUGAAAAUCCGGGGCCCAACCCCGGAACUGCAUUGGAAACUGUAUAUCUAGAGUGUCGGAGAGGCAAGUGGAAUUCCUGGUGUAGCGGUGAAAUGCGUAGAUAUCAGGAGGAACACCAGUGGCGAAGGCGGCUUGCUGGACGAUGACUGACGUUGAGGCUCGAAAGCGUGGGGAGCAAACAGGAUUAGAUACCCUUGUAC
rnacentral:rRNA from 1 species